rnacentral:rRNA from 1 species
CUACCCUUGACAUGUCCGGAAUCCUGCAGAGAUGCGGGAGUGCCCGAAAGGGAAUCGGAACACAGGUGCUGCAUGGCUGUCGUCAGCUCGUGUCGUGAGAUGUUGGGUUAAGUCCCGCAACGAGCGCAACCCUUAUCAUUAGUUGCUACGCAAGGGCACUCUAAUGAGACUGCCGGUGACAAACCGGAGGAAGGUGGGGAUGACGUCAAGUCCUCAUGGCCCUUAUGGGUAGGGCUUCACACGUCAUACAAUGGUCGGUACAGAGGGUUGCCAAGCCGCGAGGUGGAGCCAAUCUCAGAAAGCCGAUCGUAGUCCGGAUUGUUCUCUGCAACUCGAGAGCAUGAAGUCGGAAUCGCUAGUAAUCGCGGAUCAGCAUGCCGCGGUGAAUACGUUCCC